rnacentral:lncRNA from 1 species
UCUUCUUCACUCGGAUUGCUGACAUGGCAAGUUGUGCCUUGCGUCCCAAGCCUCCUAGGCUGCGUAGCUUCCUCAGCACGCCUCUUUUACACUAGCAGAAGCUUGCUUAGCACGUUUUGAGACACUCCUUCAUCUAUAAAAGGAAGACUCCUUCCAUUGUAAAAUCCAACUUUGAAUUGAUAAUGAAAUGCUGUUGGGAUUUCAGAGUUCAACUUGUUUGUGCCUAUUCUGCACCUUCUCCUCUAGCUUCCUUCCCUCUUGGAAGGCUUUUGGAGCUUGAGAUACCUUCAACACUCUUCACACCUUCAUUGAAUCACUCAUCAAACACUUACCGUGCAUAACUUCCAUCCUCCAAAGUUCAUAAGUCCGCUGCCAAUUCUGGUUUAGGAAGCUGUUCGUGCUUGAUAUACGAAGUAGUUUCCAUCAUUCGGCAUCAAGAGCCAGCUGUUCCAGCCACGCAUCAAGAGCUAAGUGAUAGCUUUACUUCAUUCGGUCAUGUAUUGUUCCAUUCGUUCAAAUUUUUCUUUUUCAAUCUUUGCUUCGGUUUAUUCUGCUGUCCUGUGAAUGUUUGAUCCAUUUCACUGUUCUAUAGCUUUUAUUUCUUCAUUUUAAUCGAUGCUUCCUUUAAAUUUUCUUUCAAUUCAGCUUGAUUCUCAUUUCAAUUUGUCUCGGUCAUGUGUACUGUUAUGGCAUUGCUUUUGCUGUUCAUAUAGUAAUUCCAUUCCAGCUUUCAAUUUUUUUCGUUUUGAUUGAGGCAUGUGCGUUGCUAGCUAUCUGUUAAUCAUAAAAAGCACUGCUAUCGUGUUUAGCUUGGAUAAUUUCAGCUGACAGCUUUACACUCUGAAUUUUCGUUCCAAAUUCUGCAUCGCAUUCCUUUUUCUCGGGUUGAUCAUGUGUGUGCUGCUUAGAUCCACAUUUCUGUUGUUUUAAGCUUUGUUCAAGACUGUGUUAUGAUUGUGAAUGUGUCCAGAAUGAUUAUAAUUCAUAUGAAUCACAAAUGAGCAAAGUGAGUGAUUGAGUUCUGCAUAAUUUGGUAUAACUUCAUUCUGUCCAGUUUUUCGUAUUCUGCACCUAUGAACAACUUUGCUUCAUGUGUUUGAUCAAUUAUCAACUGAUUAUAACCUUUGUUAAGUGCCUAAUCCAAAUUUGAGUGGUUCAGUUGUGAAAAUUUUCAUUUUGCACUGUUCAUAUUGUCACGGUUUGUGUAUUCAAGCAGCUUUAGCACCGUGCUGCUGUGUCCUUGAUUGUGUCUUAGGGCAUUUUUAAUUCUCCUAGCUCAUCUUUUCUAAGCUAGAUCUAGUAUAUAGGACCAUUCUUAUAUGUUGUUUGAUCCAACCAGCAUUGAUUCUAUGCCAUUUUUCAAAUCUGAUGCAAAUUUCAUGUGUUUUUUCUGCAUUUCAAGCAACUGAGGCAGUGAUUUGGUGAGUUUACAUGUUUUUGUGCAUCUUCUCUGUUUGAAAAAGUUUAUUUGGACAUUUUAAACUUGUUCCAAGUGUCUAUUUGGCCAUCCACCAGUCCAGCCACUAAAUCACAGUUUCACUUCCAUUUUAGAUUGAAAUUUGCAAGUGCACCUGUCAUAUUUUGCUGCAGUCAAUUUCUUUGCUGCCUAGGUGUUUGUACACUUCCAUUUUGUUGAUAUGAAGUUAAUUGAAGUGUCAUUUGAGUCUUGUAGCCACUGCCACUGAAUUCACCCACGGGAUUGCCCAUUUUUCUGGCCAUUUCCUUAGCUUUGGUGCAGUUUUAUUCUUUUAAUUCUGCAUAAACCGUAACUGCAAUUGUGCAAUUGAGUUGCUGCAUGUUUCAGUGCUGUUCCACUAUUUGUACCAGUCUAUUUGGGGAUUUGAAAGUUGUCUUUACUGUACAUUUGGUCACUUUUACCAGAUUUUGCAAAUUCAUGUUUCUACACCAUCAUAGUUGCUGGAAAGUGGAACUACACCACUGAUUUUCAGCUGCCAACUCUUUGCUUGCUGUUUAAGUGUUUGAUCAUCUUUUAUUUGAUGAAAUAAGUUUGCUGGAAGCCUCAAUUACACCUUAAAUACAUUACCAUUCAUUUUCACCACUGCUGUAUUCAUUUUUAACCAUUUUAGUGCAGAUUUUGCCUCAUGUGCUUGCUGUUUGCACUUUCUCCAGCCAUAAAAUUCAAUUCUGGAUUGGCAAAAGCUGGUUUCAAGUUUCCACAUGCUAUUAUAUGAUUAAAUAAGUCUAAAACAUCAACAAAAAGCAAAAGAAAACCAAACAAUUCAGUUUUGACCAUCCAAACCGAAAAUACCCGAAAUUCUGCACUUCAUUGAGGACUUUUAUCAAACAGUUUCAUCUUUUCAUCAAACACUUUUGCUGCACCUGUUUUAAUUCAAUUUUUGAGUCUUUCAUUGAUUUUAUAAUCGGUUCUAGACCCUAUCCUAGGUUCCUUUUGAGUGAUACCUUUUAUUCCAGCUGUAUCUCUCUUGAAUUCAUCAUUUUUGGCUUCCAUACUAUACUUGAAAUCUGGUUUGCUUAAUUAAUUUCUGGUGCAGCAGCUGUUUUCAUUCUUCACGGUUUUGGUGUGUUUGGCAGUGGUGUGUCACUUCUGUUGAGGUGCUCCAGCUCCAGAAAUUUCUCUUCAAGAGGGUAGCAUCCUAGGAAGUGGAGAGUUUGUAGAAUUGGAUACAAAGGUUGUUCUCCAAGCUGCAGUUUUGUUUCAGCAAUCAGCAGCAUUUCUCCAUUCUUCACCCCACACUUUUCAAACACUUUGGAGCUAUACAACAUCAAGCUUUAGUAGAUUCUCAUUGUAUACAUAUUGUUGCUCAUUUUAUUACUUUUAAAGCCUUGUAUCACGGAACCUUUGAAGUUUAAUUUUCUUUACUUCAUACUUCAAGUACCUUGGGAAAAUGCUUUUCAAGCAAUUCCAAGUCUACUAAGCAACAUUGUAAUAGUUAGUUUCCACCUCUUAGUGUGAAAGUGUGUCAAGGGGCUACAAGUGUCACUUGCACUUUCACAUAAGGCCGUUUAUCAUUGUCUUCCA